rnacentral:rRNA from 1 species
CGGCAACAGCUCAAAUUUGAAAUCUGGCCCCUAGGGUCCGAGUUGUAAUUUGUAGAGGAUGCUUUUGGUGAGGUGCCGCCCGAGUUCCCUGGAACGGGACGCCACAGAGGGUGAGAGCCCCGUACGGUUGGAUGCCUAGCCUCUGUGAAACUCCUUCGAC